AUUAAUGAAUGUUAGAAUGAUGUUGGAUAGAAACUAAGUGGUCUUUAGCUGAAAUGUUAUAAGGGAAUAUGAAAAAAUGGUUUAUUAAUAGGUAAAAAUCUAAAAUUACAAUAUUUUAUGAUUAAUGAUUAGGAUACAUAAAGAGGGGAGGGAUUUGUUGAACCAAUAACUGAACUGGAAUACAAAAAAGGGAGGUGUGAGGAGGUCCUGGAAAUAAGCAAAUGAAGGAUAAGUAAUGGAAGGAAUGAAUUGUUUUUAACUAUUUUUACUUUGUAUUUUUUCCUUUUUUCUUUUUUUUUUGUCUUGUAAUAUUCUGAAAAUCUUAAUAAAUAUCUUAU